UUACACUGCAAAUUUAGGUCAGUAGAAGUCAGUUUUCUGAAGAACUCAGCACACCCACAACCAUAACCUCUAUAAGGCUACAAGUUAAUACUUCUGCAAAAAAAAGAAAAAGUGACAAAACUGAUUCUUGUAAUAGCACAACAGCCAACGUUACACAGGCUAUUCCACUGAUCAUUUCGACUCCUUAAGUUAAAUAGAUGCAUUUUGCAAUCUUCAUUUCUGCAAAUUGUGAAGUCGGCCUCCAUUUAUCAGUUUCCAGAGUGCUGCUUUGGCUUCUUCUAGUGUUUCAACUGAAUGGCCUUCUUCAAAUGAUAUUCUUUGUACAUUGAACUGUGCCCCUUGACGAACACGGAUAUCUGUCCCCUUGCUAUCUAUUGAGAUCAAAGCGGCAUCAUCCACCUCAGUUUCUUGUGCUAAAAGAUCUUUUAGAGGCUUCGAAAAUAUUGCAUUGAGCUCCUUAAGAUAUUGUUCACCACCAUCAACAGCAAUUUUAUCAGGAUGAAGUGACUCAUACUCCUUGACAUCCACCCAAGCAACAGUUCCAAAGCCUCCAAUGAAAUAUAUAUCGCUUAUAUUUUGCAUCCUAAAGUAAAAGAAGUUUCCCCAUUGUUGAGAAGGACCUUGCUGAUGUUUUGCUAUAUACUGCUUGUGUGCCCAUUCCUGUUGAUCUUCAGGUAGUGGAUAGACAUCACCAAAUAUCGUGACCCUUGCAUUAGAUAAACCACUCCAUCCUGGAAUCUGUACAACCAAUGUGCAUCUCGGGUCAGCUAGCAAAUUACGGGUAUGUAUAGCUAAUGGCGAGAACGAAAAUAUCGGAUGCCCCAUAGAAUCUGGCGCAAAAUCUACAAGUGUGCCAAAUGGGUAGCCUUCUCGUCGAUGGUGCAUCCGGGACAUCACAGUACAUAAAUGAGCAAAUCUAGCCUGCUCCAUUAGAUUGCGGACAGCUAAGGCAGGUUUAGGUAGGCCGUGAGCUGAGGUUGCACUUUGUACCCCUCCAGAAAUGGGAGUUCUGAAAAGCCCAGCCCUUGUACCGCCACUAGUUGAGUGUUCAAGGGGUGAAACCACUUUUGAAGCUUGAUUCAAAUCAUUUCUGUUUAUUUCUUGUUUAUCUGAAUUAUCCUGGGACAACGAAAAGGUUGAUUCAGGAACUAAGCCAAACGCAUUAUCACAUUUCAACCCAUUAAUAUCCUCUUCUUCGCAGCCGCUUUCACCCGAGAGUUCAGCACGGCUAACCACUAGACGGGGAGAGCAGCCGCCUCCAAAAGAGCUAGUAGAAGGCGGGCUAAAACUAAUUUUGGGAUAACAAAUACUGCGCCUGUUGGAUGGUUUGAUGGAUUGAAAUACUGGAGGAGUUUCUGAAAACCUGGAGACACGAUUGGAGCUUGAGAUGGCUGCUUCCAUGGAGGAAGAGAGAGUAUGCGACGACGCCAUGUUUAAGAGUUACUAUGAGAUUGGGGCAAUGUCAGCUUGUGAAGUUAAAAAGAGG
rnacentral:misc_RNA from 1 species